ensembl:snRNA U6 U6 spliceosomal RNA
GCGCUCCUCCAGUAGUGCGUAUACUGAAUGGGAAUGGCACAGAUAAGAUUAGCAAGUCCCCUGUGCAAGGGUGACAUGCAAAUUCGUAAAGUGUUCCAUAUUUCU